GCACUUCUUCUCUCAAAGUUUGCAAGCGAAACAAUGAGAAGGUUUCUUGGUGGUACAAACAAAUAUGGCAGUGCUGUAGAUAACCUGGAGCUGUGACUGAAAUACAAUGUGGAUGGAGGACCGAAACUUAUUGGCCAUGAUCAUGAGGUGUGGUUUAAUUUGUGUAUGAUGCUGAAAGUGGCAUAACGUGUUGUUUGGAUAUGAUUUACCAAUGUGUAGGAAUGCUGCAGGUUUACAGGGAC